AUACGGAGGGUGCAAGCGUUAUUCGGAAUCACUGGGCGUAAAGGGUGCGUAGGCGGUUUGAUAAGUCUGAUGUGAAAUCCUAUGGCUCAACCAUAGAACUGCAUUGGAAGCUGUCAGACUAGAAUACUGAAGGGGCAGAUGGAAUUAGUGGUGUAGGGGUAAAAUCCGUAGAUAUCACUAGGAAUACCGAAAGCGAAAGCGAUCUGCUGGGAAGUUAUUGACGCUGAGGCACGAAAGCGUGGGGAGCAAACGGGAUUAGAAACCCCAGUAGUCC
rnacentral:rRNA from 1 species